CUACUACUACUACUACUACUACUACUACUACUACUACUACUACUGCGAAACAUAGAAGCAUAAAAUCCAAAAUACCAGUGAAGAUACACGACAUUAAGGAAACUGAAGGGAGCGGCGCCCCCCCUGAAACCUCGGGGGGCGCAGGGGGGGGCGUGGAUGACGUCUGCCUGGAGGAGUGCGUGAAGGAGGCAGUGGUAGGACUCCUCAAGGACCUGCCAGAGUCCUUUUUGCAGACACGGGACCACAAGAGAGAAAUAUUAAGCUCUAUUUCCUCCCUUGCCGAGUCCCUGCCACGCCCUGCCGCCACCCACGCCUCUGCUCUCGAAGCCAUCCACGCCGCCCACGCCGCCCACGCCCAGAAUGCUUGCAACCACAACACCACCACACACCUCUGCCUCUACCUCGGUCUCAAGUCUGCCCUUCUCUACCACCACCACAACCAACAACAACAACAACAACAACAACAACAACAACAACAACAACAACAACAACAACAACAACAACAACAACAACAACAACAACAACAACAACAACAAC